rnacentral:lncRNA from 1 species
UCCUUUUCUCUCUCAUUCACACGCUCUCCCUCCAAAUAAUAUAUAAUUCCUUCAAACCAACCCACCAACGAAAUAAAAAGACAGAAAUCUCUUCUGCCGCUCCAAAUGGCAGCCAUGGCGCUUUUCCUUAACAUAGCCACUCCUUCCUCCGUCUCUUACCCAAAACUGCCCAAAUCCCACCUCCCUCCACCCUUACUCCUCCCCCUCCACCACCACUCCACCGCCAGAACCCGAUCUGGUACCAAGAUUUCUGCCUCUCUGAUUGACCCGGAUGGAGGCCGACUUGUCGAGCUUUUUGUUCGAGAAUCUGAGAAGGAUUCGAAAUUGAAGCAGGCCAUGGGCUUGCCUCAGAUCAAACUCUCCAAGAUUGACCUUCAAUGGGUCCAUGUGCUCAGCGAGGGCUGGGCCAGCCCAUUGAAGGGGUUCAUGAGAGAGUCUGAGUUCCUCCAAACGCUUCAUUUUAACUCGCUCCGACUCAAUGACGGGUCGGUUGUCAACAUGUCGGUCGCGAUCGUUCUGGCCAUUGAUGAUGUCCAGAAGGGUCGGAUCGGGUCGUCCACCAGCGUUGCGCUUGUGGAUCAGAAUGACAACCUCGUUGCUAUCUUGAACGAGUAAGAUAAUUUUCUCUAAUUUUUCUAUGGAAAUUUGUUGGCUGAAUUCUAUUGAGUUUUUAAGUGAUUAAUUAUGUGAACGAUGCACUUGUGAUGGAAUUAUGCUUCUCUGAGUGAUGAAUUAUUUCUGUUACGAGUCUUUUUAUUUAUAUAUGGAGUUACUAUGAAUUUUAAUGCUAAUGAAUAUCUUCUUGAUCGGUAUUAGAUAUAGAUAAUUUGUAAUUGUUAAGAAGGGGUUGCCUGUCCUGGCGUGAAAUUUUAGUUUUAGAACUUGAUAUACAUUGAAUGCGCUGAAUUUUUAAUUUUUUAAUUUUUAAUUAUGUUUUUCCCUAUCAAACUGAAAUGUUUCUUAUUAGUUAGUUUUAAAUUAUGGCUUAUCAUGGAAUUAGCUAGAAAUUUUGAUUUAUUUUAACUCUUUUUGCAGCCUAAUUGUAUCUUCAUAGCUAUUGCAGAGUUUCUUGCUCAAGUUGUGCUGACGUGUAAAACUGAUAAUUCUACAGUCAUGCAAUAAUUUCGAUUUAGUUGGUGAUUUCAUAUGAUAUGCUGCUUGAAUAAUUUCCGGAAUUGGUGUUUCGAGAGUGUAAUAUUCCAAGGUUUAAUCCUCUGGUUGGAUAAGAUGGUGGAGCUUGCAAUUCUUAUUCAAAUGAUUAUUUCCAAGGGCAAGGUCCCACAUUUGUAAAAUGAAAAAAGAUAAAUGAUUGGAGAUUUAGCCCUGUUUGUUUCCCAUUUUCUCCUCAUUAAAAUGAAAAAUAUAACCGUUAUCCAUCACAUCAAGCCACCAAAUUUGAAUUUCUAUAUUUUGUAUAGGACUCAUAACGGCUAUAUGUUUCAUUCUCAUUUUUACAAAAAUGGGAAAUAAACGGGGUUUUACUAUGAUUUGAAAGUCAACUUGCAUCUGAUUGCGAGACCAAGGGUGUUUAAGACAUUUUUGAGCGAAUAGAUUAGUUGAUUUCCAAAUUCAUUGGAAUGGUAUACCAGCAUGAUCAUGUAAUAAUAUUGACAUCCUAUGCAUAUAUGAUUGACUACAUGCAAAUGUUGACCCCUUUACAAAACCCAUGGAUACUUUAACUUCCAUUGACUCUAUACUUGAAUAAGGAAAUUAUUAAGAUUGGAUUAUAGAAGAGUACCAGUUAUUUCGAAAACAAUUGUUCACGUCAUCUUUUGGUACAUGACCAAUAAUUUGCUUUUCAUGAAAAAGUAAAAUUCAUCUGUAGUUUGUAAUCGAGAAACAGAGCUGACACAAUUAUGUACAAUGGUUUUUGAUUAGUUUUUCAGGUAGCUUCCGUAGGACUCCUUUACCAUCAUCUACGAUAUUUUGGCUGUAGAUUAAUUUUCACUUAUCAUUUUCUUUAGACAUGUAGGUUGUGCUCCUAAUCAUAUUAUUAUUAUUAUUAUUAUUAUUAUUAUUAUUAUUAUUAUUAUUAUUAUUAUUAUUUUUGCUUUACUACAUAGAUAUACGUACCACAGUUUCUCAUCAAGUAUUUUAUUGAUCUUCUUAAAUCUAAUUGUUAAUGUAGCAUUGAAAUUUACAAGCAUAACAAAGAAGAAAGAAUAGCAAGAACCUGGGGUACUACAGCACCCGGUUUACCUUUAUUAUUAUUAUUAUUAUUAUUAUUAUUAUUAUUAUUAUUAUUAUUAUUAUUAUUAUUUUUGCUUUACUACAUAGAUAUACGUACCACAGUUUCUCAUCAAGUAUUUUAUUGAUCUUCUUAAAUCUAAUUGUUAAUGUAGCAUUGAAAUUUACAAGCAUAACAAAGAAGAAAGAAUAGCAAGAACCUGGGGUACUACAGCACCCGGUUUACCUUAUGUCGAGGAAGCUAUUAGCGCUGCUGGAAACUGGCUGAUUGGUGGUGAUUUAGAGGUUAUAGAACCCAUCAAGUAUAAUGAUGGUCUUGAUCACUUCCGGCUUUCCCCUUCACAGCUCCGUGACGAGUUUGUGAGGCGCAACGCAGAUGCUGUGUUUGCCUUCCAGCUCAGAAAUCCUGUGCACAAUGGGCAUGCUCUAUUGAUGACUGACACGCGCAGUCGUCUUCUGGAGAUGGGAUAUAAGAAUCCGGUCCUCUUGCUUCAUCCAUUGGGAGGUUAUACAAAAGCAGAUGAUGUACCACUUUGUUGGCGAAUGAAGCAACAUGAGAAGGUACGUGACCUCUUAAAUAUGUUACUAUCUACCUAGCAAUGGGGAGCCAAUCUUUUUGCAUUUUCCUUUUUUGUGUGCUUUCUCUUCAUAUUCCUUUUACAACUAUUAAGAAUUUGAGCUAAUUAAUUUUUACAUCGGGUCAAACAGUGUCAUGCUGAAAAAAGAAGUAAUAUUGUGGGACAAAAGUAUAUUUUGGUACAAUGUUAGAACUGUUGCUGAUCAUGACGUGAUUCGUUCUUGUAUCCCGAAGUUCCAUUUAGGGCUUGCCUAGGAAAUGAGUAAAAUCAACUGUUUGUCCCUAAUAUGAUUGGACACUUUGAUAACUUUAAAAAGGUUACAUUUUAAAAAGUUUAAAGCUUAAUUUAGAUGAAGAGAAACAUUAUUUUUUUUAAUUUUUCAACUUAUUUAUUAUAAGUAAAUAUGUGUACGUGAACUUUUGAGCAUAGCUAUUUCAAUGUUGAUUUUCAUUAGCAGAUUGUUCAUGAUGUGCUUUUAUGCAAUAUUUUCCUUUAAAUUGACAACAUAUGUCAAAAAAAAAAGUCGUUUUGUGUUUUCUUCACAAAUUUUUUUUUCGUUUUCGAAAAUUCGUUUUCGAAAACGGGAAAGAGAACACGUUUUCAUCGUUUUGAAAAAUCGAAAACAGAAAACGGCCCGAAAACAGUAAAGAGAACAGGGCCUAAAUAAUUUAAUUUGGGAGUGCCCCAAUCAAUUAUCUCAUAAAACAUUGUCCAGGUUCAUCCUCCCAAAUUUUACACUCCACUGGAGACCCCCACAUAAAUCCAACACCGGAAUUCCACCCAAAUAUUUCUUUCCCAGAAUACCCCUCACUACAAUUUUCUUUCCCAAAAGUCCCUCUACCACAAUUUUAAUUCUCAAUUUUCCUUAUAAUCUUUCACACUAAGGACAAAUUUUGUUCCUUUAAUAUUCCCACUUUCUUAAAUUUUGUUUUUCUUAAUUUUGUUAUUCCCAAAAUAUCCUUUUCUCUCUCAUUCACACGCUCUCCCUCCAAAUAAUAUAUAAUUCCUUCAAACCAACCCACCAACGAAAUAAAAAGACAGAAAUCUCUUCUGCCGCUCCAAAUGGCAGCCAUGGCGCUUUUCCUUAACAUAGCCACUCCUUCCUCCGUCUCUUACCCAAAACUGCCCAAAUCCCACCUCCCUCCACCCUUACUCCUCCCCCUCCACCACCACUCCACCGCCAGAACCCGAUCUGGUACCAAGAUUUCUGCCUCUCUGAUUGACCCGGAUGGAGGCCGACUUGUCGAGCUUUUUGUUCGAGAAUCUGAGAAGGAUUCGAAAUUGAA